UACGUAGGGGGCAAGCGUUGUCCGGAAUCACUGGGCGUAAAGCGCGUGUAGGUGGCCAGGUAAGUCCGCUGUGAAAUCUCGAGGCUCAACUUCGAGCUGUCGGUGGAAACUGUCUGGCUAGAGUCCGGAAGAGGAGAGUGGAAUUCCUGGUGUAGCGGUGAAAUGCGCAGAUAUCAGGAAGAACACCCGUGGCGAAGGCGGUUCUCUGGGACGGUACUGACGCUGAGACGCGAAAGCGUGGGGAGCGAACAGG
rnacentral:rRNA from 1 species